UUUGUCCUUAGAAAGCAUAAAGUCACAAUGUGUCAUAGGGAUGGAAUAUUGGCAUUAACCACACUUGUCUUCUUCUUCUAUCUUAUCCUUCUUAUACUCUUCACACAUCCAUUCAUCAAGUUCAAAAGCAUCAGAUUUUUUUUUUCCUUAUAUGCAUGUUGUUUCUACAAUUUUCAAGGGCAUUUUAGUCCCCGGAAUUGGCUAACAUAUCCCUUUCUCUAUAAAAAAAAUUCCACCCACCACAAUAUUACUACUCGCAUAAAUCGAGUGCUGUUUCCUUCUCAAUUUGCCUCUACCAUGACUUGUUCCCACCCACAAUGAAAAAGGUAACCCUGCAAGAUUCUGCCUCUUCCCCUGGAAAAACAUCGCAAUUUGCCGCUGAAUGCUGGUUCGACGACGCAUGCAUACUCACUAUGGACUAUUUCGUUAAGACCCUAGCCGGCAUUAAGGCCAAGGGGGUUCGUCCUGAACUUAUUGGCUCAAUCAUAGCUCACUACUCGUCCAAAUGGUUACCUGAGCUAUCUGGUGAUAAUGCUUAUUGUGAGAGGGGAUCACUAACGAACAUCGAAGAAUCCCCAGAAAGUGUCACAGCUUCGUGGAUGAAGAAGAGAUUUUUCGUUGAAACUCUAGUGGGUGUUUUGCCUCCAGAGAAAGACUCAAUUCCAUGCAAUUUCAUGCUUCGCCUUCUCCGGACGGCAAACAUGGUUGCUGUAGAGCCUACGUAUAGAGCAGAGCUUGAGAAGAGGAUUUCAUGGCAGCUCGACCAAGCUUCACUGAAAGAGCUAAUGAUACCAUCUUUUAGCCACACUUGUGGGACCUUACUAGACGUUGAGCUAGUGACACGGUUAGUGAAGAGAUUUGUUAAUUUGGAUGAGGCAGCUAAGAGUGGAGCUGCUGCUUUAAUUAAGGUAGCUAAGCUUGUGGACUCUUAUUUAGCAGAAGCAGCUGUGGAUGCUAAUUUGAGUUUGUCAGAGUUUGAUGAUCUUGCUUCUGCUCUCCCUAGCCAUGUUCGAGCCAUUGAUGAUGGUUUAUACCGAGCCAUUGAUACCUAUCUCAAAGUAAGUGAUGCUCUGCUUAACUUUGUCCUUUUCUUUUUCUAUACCCUGUCUCUGCUUCUCCUUAGGUAGCCCAGAAAUUGUAGGCCUGUUCACUACUGUUCAUGAUCAACACCCAAUUAAAUAGCUAGCUGGCUGAUUAAUCUUGCAGCAAAAAAGAAAUUGAAUUAAGGUUGAUUAAUUAAUUAAGUUGCUAUUAGUUCCAAGCUUCUCUGAUGAAUUCACUAGUAGAUAUUAGAAGAAGAAAAAGACGAGUAGGAAAAGAUUAAAUGGAAAAGAGGAAAAAGAAACGCCGUCUGGGACCAAGAAGUGGUAGUGGCUGUGUUGUCACCAACUUGAGAUUCUUUCAUCUGAACUAUUUGGUGGUGGGGUUCAGUUUUCGCAGGGAGCACAGGAAGUAAAUUGACAUCCAUGCCCUUUAUCUAGGACCUCUGGGGUUGGUUUGGCCUGAUGCUGGCCUUUCUUUUCGUGUGGUCAUGGUAACAUAUGUUCAAGGUAGUGUCAGAUGUACCUUCAAUAGCAUUGACACAUCGUUUAGGUAAAUUUUGUUUUAUAUUGACUGUCCUACAAACAUUUCUGAGAUAUGAAUGGCAAAAGUCACCACAACUUGGCAAUACAUUUCUCUACCCAUUUAUGCCUGCAAGUGUUGAAGUUCCUUCACAUAACUAUGCAUGAAACUAGUCAUCUUUAUUAAACAUUCAUUGAACUACUAAUUCAGUGAUUAAAUAUAUGGAUUAUUAUAUUUUCUUGGCAUAAUCAAUUAAUAAUUAACCAUGUAAUGAUAAAUUAUGUUUUGCUAGGCGCAUCCUGGAGCGACAAAGCAAGAAAGGAAGAUUCUUUGCAGAUUAAUUGAUAGCAGGAAGCUCUCCCCUGAGGCUUCACUCCAUGCUGCUCAGAAUGAAAGGCUGCCUGUUCGUGCUGUCAUCCAGGUUCUCUUCUCUGAACAAAACAAGCUCAAUCGACACGUCGAUUGGAGUGGUUCGUUUAGUGGUACGAGGAGCCCAAACCCAGGUUUCGACCCUCCUGGAAGGUGCUUUUCGAAACGGGAAAUGAAUGCUCAACAAAUGGAGAUAAAGAAGUUAAGAGAAGAUGUACUUAGGCUGCAAGGGCAAUGCUAUGCCAUGCAAAUGCAAAUGGAGAGGAUGGUGGAGAAGAAGAAAGGGUUUUUUAGGUGGAAGAAAUUGGGGAUAGUGUCCUCGUUAAAAAGUGUCAGUAGUGUUGAGAAGAUUGAAGAGGUUAAUGGAGAAGGAGAGGCUGGGUUUGGUAGGCUGACUCCUGUGGACAUGAAGACAAAGUUGGUGAAGGGAAGGACUCCUAAGUGGAGAAAAUCCACGUCUUGAAUGUGAAAUUUCAAGCUAGAUGACUGACAUAUGGUUAAUUUUUUCUUAAAAUGUUGUUAUGCUAAUUAGUUAUGUGGUUUGCUUUGUUUGUAUUAAUAAGAAAUAAUCUAUAUUUUCAGCUUUAAAAAUUGUGUGGUUUUACCAUUAACUUCUUGAUUUGUUUCAUUAAGUCUAAUUGCUGAUUUGGGUAAUUCAUCAAAUUUGAUAUCAAAUCAAUAAUGGUAUUAUGUGAGAUAACUUUUUCUUUAAUCUAUUUUUUGUUUUUAUUCAUUUAAAAUGAUAAUCUGUAGGGUAAUCACCAGAACCUCGUACUCGGCUACAUUGUUCGUAGCUUGGAAGUUUAGCCAUGCCGUGUGCUUGAGUUUUAUGCCUUGGGGGCCCUCCCAGAUGAUCCCAAUUUUGGAUCCGCUGGUGCUUGUUGCUCUGUCGACCCAGACGCUCCAUAUUGCUUUCUGCUUAUUUCUUCUUCUGGCAAUGGUGCGAGUUUGGCAACGAAAUCAACAAGGACUUGUGCCUUUAGAGCUGUUCGAGGUACAUACUUGAUAUCGUAGGCUCCCAAUAUUACCGACCAAGUGGAGAGGCAUUCUGAUAUGUCCGAUCUUUGCAAGAUCUUUCUUAAGGGGUAGUUUAUGCAUAUUUCGAUAGUGUGGGACUCGAAGUACGAUCUUAACUUUUGUGGCUGCUGAGAGUACGAGAAAGGCUAAUUUUUCCAAAGUCGGAUAGUUGAGUUCGGCUCUUUUCAGGACUUGGCUUGUAACACCCUCACUUUAGAUAGUCCGUACGUUCUACUGUUCUGGUGACCAAUGUUUGUCCAGAUAGUCAAAAUGUCUGGAACUAUAAUUAGACUAGAGUGAGGAGUCAUAA
rnacentral:misc_RNA from 1 species